rnacentral:rRNA from 1 species
UACGGAAGGCAGCAGUGGGGAAUAUUGCACAAUGGGCGAAAGCCUGAUGCAGCUAUGCCGCGUGUAUGAAGAAGGCCUUAGGGUUGUAAAGUACUUUUCAUCGGGGAGGAAAAAACAAAACUAAUAAUUUUAUUUCUUGACGUUACCCGAAAAAGAAGCACCGGCUAACUCCGUGCCAGCAGCCGCGGUAAUACGGAGGGUGCUAGCGUUAAUCAGAAUUACUGGGCGUAAAGAGCACGUAGGUGGUUUUUUUUAAAGUCAGAUGUGAAAUCCCUGGGCUUAACCUGGAACUGCAUUUUGAAACUGAAAUACUAGAGUAUCGUAGAGGGAGGUAGAAUUCUAGGUGUAGCGGUUGAAAUGCGUAGAUAUCUGGAGGAAUACCUGUGGCGAAAGCGGCCUCCUAAACGAAUACUGACACUGAGGGUGCGAAAGCGUGGGGAGCAAACCAGGGAUUAGAUACC